UAUAGGUUUGGUCCCGGCCUUUCUAUUAGUUAUUAGUGAAUAUACACAUGCAAGACUCCCCAAUCCAGUGAAAAUGCCCUCUAAGUCAACCUAUGAUAAAAAGGAGCAGGUAUCAAGCACACUACCUAGUAGCUCAUUACACCUUGCUUAGCCACACCCCCACGGGAAACAGCAGUGAUAAAUAUUAAGCAAUAAACGAAAGCUUGACUAAGUUACACUAAAAUUAAGGUCUGGUAAACUUCGUGCCAGCCACCGCGGUCAUACGAUCGGGCCAAACUAAUAGAUAUACGGCGUAAAGAGUGUUAAAAAUUAAUUAAUAAAUAAAGCUAAACCUUGGCUAAACUGUAAAAAGUCCUAGCCAUUGUAAAAUACAUAACGAAAGUAGCUUUAAGAUUUUUGAUUACACUAUAGCUAGAACCCAAACUGGGAUUAGAUACCCCACUAUGCCUAGCCUUAAACAUAAAUUAUUAUAAACAAAAUCACUCGCCAGAGAACUACUAGCAACAGCUAAAAACUCAAAGGACUUGGCGGUGCCCCACAUCCUUCUAGAGGAGCCUGUUCUAUAAUCGAUAAACCCCGCUACACCCGACCAAUCCUUGCUAAAUCAGCCUAUAUACCGCCAUCUUCAGCAAACCCUAAAAAGGAAUUACAGUAAGCAUAAGUAUUAACAUAAAAAAGUUAGGUCAAGGUGUAGCCCAUGGGUUGGAAAGAAAUGGGCUACAUUUUCCCACUGAGGAAAAUAUACGAAAGUUUAUGUGAAAACCACAAACUAAAGGUGGAUUUAGUAGUAAACUAAGAAUAGAGUGCUUAGUUGAAUUUCGGCCAUGAGGCACGCACACACCGCCCGUCACCCUCCUCAAAUAAAAAACACCCAAACUAUUAAAUAAUUACGCGCACCGUUUUAUGAGAGGAGAUAAGUCGUAACAAGGUAAGUGUACUGGAAAGUGCACUUGGAGAAU
rnacentral:ncRNA from 1 species